CCCCUCUCAGGUUGGCAUCUGAAGAGUUUCACGUACUCUAUCAUUCUCAACUACGGGAGGGAGAGUCAAGCAGAGGCAUACCCAUUCCAUUCCUAGUUUGGGCAGUGGCUAGUGAGUAGAAGGCAAUCUGCUACAAGU